UUGGGAACAUGCCUUGAGGUGGGGGACAACAGUUGGAAACGACUGCUAAUACCGCAUAAUGUCUACGGACCAAAGGGGGCUUCGGCUCUCGCCUUUAGAUUGGCCCAAGUGGGAUUAGCUAGUUGGUGAGGUAAUGGCUCACCAAGGCGACGAUCCCUAGCUGGUUUGAGAGGAUGAUCAGCCACACUGGGACUGAGACACGGCCCAGACUCCUACGGGAGGCAGCAGUGGGGAAUAUUGCACAAUGGGCGCAAGCCUGAUGCAGCCAUGCCGCGUGUGUGAAGAAGGCCUUCGGGUUGUAAAGCACUUUCAGUCAGGAGGAAAGGUUAGUAGUUAAUACCUGCUAGCUGUGACGUUA
rnacentral:rRNA from 1 species